AUGCACAGUGUUUACAUAUGUACAGCUCUUACAUAUGUACAGCGUUUACAUAUGCACAGCGUUUACAUAUGAUGUAUGCACAGCGUUUACAGCUGAAGUUGCUCAGAAUGGAGGAGCUUUUCGUUGGCGCGAUCAAGUAUUGAUAUCUCCUUGUGACGUGGAAUAUUUGCACAUAUGUGGACUUGUUAAAUAUCUUCAAAAUCACAUUACUGGGAAUGACAGGCAAUUCCUCCCUGCAAUACGCAGUACAGCAGAAUCAUGUAGAUCAAAAUAACCCCACAAUGAUAUCACAAAUGCUGGUGCAAAGCUUGGAUUUUCCAGUGGUCAGUGCGCCGAUUUCGACUACUCAGUGUGGGGACAUAUGGCCGGGUAGGGCUGAUUUUGAGCCGCAAGCUUUUGUCUGGAUCUCCAACGUGAGGACACGUGAGGGCACGUGAGGGCACUGCUGGCUAUAAAUACCUGGCUUCUCCCCCGUCGCAUCAUCUCAGUUCCUCUUCUACAUUUUCCUCAAGACCAAUCUUGUACGCAUCAAUUGGCAAAAUAGCGAAGCUCGCCGCAUCCGCCGACAACAGCUAUCUUUAUUUAUCUCUUCUGAUCAAUGAAAUCUUUUUCCCCCUUAUUUCUCAGGA
rnacentral:lncRNA from 1 species